CCUUCAGCAGGCCUUUCAACGUUUUUCAAAAAAGAUCGAGGUAUUCCGGUAGUUCGUUUUACCCUUGGUUUUCCAUCGUAAUUAGGAUCAGCGUUGGUAGGGCAUGCUUGAAUCCAGUGUCCUUUCUGACCGCAUCUAUAACAAAUAUAUCCAGGGGGAGGUGGUUUGUCCGGAACAGAAGCAGCAAUACGGCGUUGAUUGGGUUUAUAAAUAGGGGUAGCAGAAGCCAUUUUAUCCUGAGUUUCACGCCAUUGAUCGCUUGACACUUGAAACAUUUGCUGAAUUGCUGCGUCUUCGGAGGAUGAAGGACUUUUAUUAAUAUUUGAUUCACCGGAUGUAAUGGGUGCCUUUUUCUGAAGCAUUGGGACAGGUCGUUUGACAGAAUCAGAUCGAGCACCGGUUGUCUUAGGAGCGCCACUGACAUAGCGAGCAGCAGUUCCUUUUCCGGAUUUUUGUGCAGGUACUCGACGGACAAUGACAGAAGUAGAACGAGGAAUUAUAAAAGUGUCAUCAUCAUACUCUUCAUUAGAA